rnacentral:tRNA from 2 species
GGGCCCGUGGUCUAGUGGCAUGACGUCUGCUUGACGUGCAGGAGGUCCCCGGUUCAAGUCCGGGCGGGCCCA